rnacentral:tmRNA from 1 species
GGGGGCGAUCGGUUUCGACGGAGGUAUUCUCUUCACUCGUAGCGUGCCGUGGUUCUCGAGGGCCCACGUAAAAACCUUCGGGAUGUAUAAUUGCGAACGAUAACGCAAUCGCUCUCGCUGCCUAACUAGCAGUCUGAAAGCCGUGCGACCGAAGAGUCCGCCAAUACUCUCGGAAGUGCGUCAUUGAAUUGGCUGGCUGAUCAUCGGGUGACCGGGUGAGAGGCGAGGAGCAAACAGGUCCCUAGCCGUGUGGGUAGCAUGCCGAUAAGCGACCCACGAGGCGAUACAAAGAAUCGGCUGCGCACGGAGAAACAGUGAGGCAGUUGCUUUCGGACCCGGGUUCGAUUCCCGGCGCCUCCACCU